rnacentral:rRNA from 1 species
CGGAGGUGCGAGCGUUGUCCGGAUUAUUGGGUUUAAAGGGUGCGUAGGCGGUUCUUAAGUCCGGGUGAAGCCCGCUGCUCAACAGCGGAACUGCCCUGGAUACUGGAGAACUUGAGUACAGACGAGGUUGGCGGAAUGGACCGAGUAGCGGUGAAAUGCAUAGAUACGGUCCAGAACCCCGAUUGCGAAGGCAGCUGACUAGGCUGUUACUGACGCUGAGGCACGAAAGCGUGAGGAGCGAACAGGAUU